UCCGUAGGCGGUGUGGCAAGUCGGAAGUGAAAUCUCUGGGCUUAACCCAGGGGCUGCUUCCGAAACUGCCGUGCUAGAGUGUGAGAGAGGCGAGUGGAAUUGCGGGUGUAGCGGUGAAAUGCGUAGAUAUCCGCAGGAACAUCCGAGGCGAAAGCGGCUCGCUGGAUCACAACUGACGCUGAGGGACGAAAGCUAGGGGAGCAAACAGGAUUAGAUACCCUGGUAGUCCUAGCCCUAAACCAUCAGGACUUGGGGUUUGCCCUGUACGGGGCAAGUCCCGUAGCUAACGCGUUAAGUCCUGCGCCUGGGGAGUACGGUCGCAAGGCUGAA
rnacentral:rRNA from 1 species